CCCAGGCCGGUCCCCCGAUGAGGCUUCCUCUGGGUUGGGGUCCCUGGCCUGCCGGCAUCUGUGCCUGCUCCUGCUUGUCCAGAAAGCUGACCGAUCCUCGCUGCACUGGGCACUGUGCGCCUGGAGCCUCCCCCGGGGCGGGGAGUCCCGUGUGUCCAGCCUGGUCUCUGCCAUGGCCCAGGCGCGUGUGCGGCCUGAGCAGCGGCUACCAGCCCAGGCCACCUCAGACCCGGGAACGCACUGUAAGCUUUGGGCAAACGCCAGUAUCUGUCACUGUUUUUGACAUCUGGCCACGAGGGCCGUGCACGGCUGGGGUCGUCCCCUUACCCGCCAGCGCCCAAGGCCGCCCGGCAGACGCCUCAGCGCCACGUGGGCUUCUCUCUGGUCAGCGAGGGCGGGCGUCUCAGAGGGGCGCAGCCACACCCCUCCCCACCCCCCAGCCCGGUCCUUCAAGUUCUCGAGGGGAGCUGCACGGGAGGAACAGCAUCCGCCAGGCCGGGUCUGGCCGCCGAGGGGACAGCAGGGCGGUGAGAAGCCCCUGGAUGCCCCCGGAAGGCGCCGGAAGCCGCAGCAGGAGUGGCAGCCAGAAGCAGCCGUCGAGCCCCUCCGUCCAGCAGAGGCUUAGCGCUAAGUCCAGUCGGCGCCCCCGGGGCUUUGAGUGCAGUGCAGUUUUCCAGGCCCGGCGGCUUCAGGACUGGGAAAGGCGUGGGCUGUGCUGGGAUGUGUGACAGUGAUGUCCGCCCCGGUCACCCGGGGGACCCCACCCAGGACCCCACCCAGGACGCCAGGGGCUCUCCUGCCCAGAACUCCGCUGAUGCCAGGGGUCCCCGCACAAGACCCCGCCCCAGACAUCCAGGGGUCCCUGGCACAGGACCCCACCCCCAUUUGCCAGGGGGUCCCCACACAGGACGCUGUCCUGACGCCCAGAGCUCCCCCACCCCCGGCCCCACCCCAGCUCCCUCUGGGAGGCCUGGGGCUUCCAGCGAGCUGUGGCCGCCCCUGCGGGUUUC
rnacentral:lncRNA from 1 species